AAGCCAUGAUAUGGGCACUUACGUAACAUGAGUUUAAACCGCUCCCAUGCCUCGUAUAAUGACUCCCCAUCCAAGUGCCAAAAAUUUUUAAUAUCCAUACGAAGCUU
rfam:Gossypium raimondii chromosome 2, whole genome shotgun sequence.